UACAGAGGGGGCGAGCGUUGUUCGGAAUUAUUGGGCGUAAAGAGCUCGUAGGCGGUUUGUCGCGUCGGCCGUGAAAUCUCCACGCUUAACGUGGAGCGUGCGGUCGAUACGGGCAGACUUGAGUUCGGUAGGGGAGACUGGAAUUCCUGGUGUAGCGGUGAAAUGCGCAGAUAUCAGGAGGAACACCGGUGGCGAAGGCGGGUCUCUGGGCCGAUACUGACGCUGAGGAGCGAAAGCGUGGGGAGCGAACAGG
rnacentral:rRNA from 1 species